rnacentral:rRNA from 1 species
UACGAAGGGGCUAGCGUUGCUCGGAAUCACUGGGCGUAAGGGUGCGUAGGCGGGUCUUUAAGUCAGGGGUGAAUCCUGGAGCUCAACUCCAGAACUGCCUUGAUACUGAGGAUCUUGAGUACGGGAGAGGUGAGUGGAACUGCGAGUGUAGAGGUGAAAUUCGUAGAUAUUCGCAAGAACACCAGUGGCGAAGGCGGCUCACUGGCCCGUAACUGACGCUGAGGCACGAAAGCGUGAGGAG